CUGCUGCUGCUACUGUCGGGGGAAGGCCACACCCACAAACAGCACCGUCAGCUCACUGCUCAUUCAGAGAGCUCUGCCACCGAUUAGCAUUCACCCAGCAGCACCGGGACACCUGCUGAAGAUGGCUGCUGGCAGAGGAGCACGGCGCUGUGGAUGUGUUGGAGCAGUUCUUCUCCCAACUACUGCAGGGGACAGCCGAGUGGGUCCAGUACCACUGUCCGGUGUCGCUAGAUGAGGAGAUCCAGUGGGCGGAGCUCCAUUUGACGGUGAAUGCAGGGGCAGAGCUCUCGUCUGACCUCGCUGAGCUGAAUGAGGAGCUCAAGAGGUUUCAGAAGCUGCAGCCUUCGUCCACGACCUGCUGCAGGGUGUCAGAAUCUUUCCAAGCCAACAGAGGACUGUUGUGGUUACAGGAAGGAUAAUGGGUCUGAGAAGUUCAUUAAAAUGCCCGUCUUUGUAGCACACAUUUCAUCACAGCCGCCUAGUUAACAAUCCGUGAACUUUGUGUGCUAAAUAAGAAUUUGACAGGCUUAACUUGUUAGUUUGCUACACGCCUAAUUAAUAUCGCUUUAACAAACUUACGUAGCUCGCUUAAAUCUAUUGAUCUAGAUCGAGAAACUAGCUAGCUAACACUAAAUAGCUUAGAAUAACACAUUCUUACUGAGGAGUUGCAUAGAGUAGACAUGUUUCUCUACCUUAAAGUUAACUAGCUUAACUGUUUCAGCUAACAGAUGAGUUCAUGGCAUUUGUUAUGGCACUUUUUGAUUUUCAAUGCCAUGCCAUCCUUGAAGUUCAUAAAACAUUACAUCUUGAACAUUUAUGCCUAGUCUCUUCAGGUUUUUCUGCAACCAGGUUGGCCAUGCACGUCUUUUGGUUUACAAACAAUGAAGGGGUUUAUUUAAGACUGUAGUAAACAAUCUGGAACACAGCCAUACUUACACUGGGUUUUUAAAUAAUAAUAAUAAUAAUUUUUUAUAAUGACUGGCAGUAGAUUGACUUAAAUGAGGACUCUUAGUGAUGGCAUUUGACCAAUCUUUGACCAAUCCAAGUAUUUUUACUAGCGCCAUCCUAUUAGUCCCUAAUUGCUUCUCUUGGUACUCUGCAAUAAGAGGAAUUGAAUUUAACACUUAACAAUGUGGUGUUAUGGAUUUCUCACCAUGCAUUACCAGAAUGUCUGGUGGAACAGCACUGAUAGAGACCUAUGCUGUGUGUGAAACCACUCACUCGUUCACUCUUCCCUAUAUAGCGAAAGACAUUUGAGUCCACUAUAUGGGGAAGAAGUGAAGGAAAAUGAGUGGCGAAUUCGGACGCUGAUAAUGCGUACAUAAUGAUAACUCUGUCUCGGACAUUAUGGAUUGUAUUAAAACAAUAAAGUUUAUUUUCUCACGGUU